ACGCUAGCGGCGGACGGGUGAGUAACACGUGGGUAACCUACCUAUAAGACUGGGAUAACUUCGGGAAACCGGAGCUAAUACCGGAUAAUAUUUCGAACCGCAUGGUUCGAUAGUGAAAGAUGGUUUUGCUAUCACUUAUAGAUGGACCCGCGCCGUAUUAGCUAGUUGGUAAGGUAACGGCUUACCAAGGCGACGAUACGUAGCCGACCUGAGAGGGUGAUCGGCCACACUGGAACUGAGACACGGUCCAGACUCCUACGGGAGGCAGCAGGC
rnacentral:rRNA from 1 species